CAGCCCUAAACGAUGCGCGUUAGGUGUAUCGGUGACCACGAGUCACCGAGGUGCCGAAGGGAAACCGUGAAACGUGCCGCCUGGGAAGUACGGUCGCAAGGCUGAAACUUAAAGGAAUUGGCGGGGGAGCACCACAACGGGUGGGGCCUGCGGUUUAAUUGGACUCAACGCCGGGAAGCUCACCGGAUAAGACAGCGGAAUGAUUGCCGGGCUGAAGACUCUACUUGAUGAUCUGAGAGGUGGUGCAUGGCGUCAGUGACU
rnacentral:rRNA from 1 species